rfam:Vibrio harveyi ATCC BAA-1116 chromosome I, complete sequence.
GGCUAUUCUUAACGUAUCAGGGUCCAGCAGCAUAAAACCCCGACUUUCGGGGUUUUUUGUUAUCUGAGUUUUUGUAAUUUAACUCGGAUCACUGCUUGGUUUUUUGAUUGGGCUCUGAGCCCUUUUUUU